UACGUAGGGGGCAAGCGUUGUCCGGAAUCAUUGGGCGUAAAGAGCGCGUAGGCGGUCCGGUAAGUCCGCUCUGAAAGUCCGGGGCUCAACCCCGGGAGGCGGGCGGAUACUGUCGGGCUAGAGUCCGGAAGAGGCGAGUGGAAUUCCUGGUGUAGCGGUGAAAUGCGCAGAUAUCAGGAGGAAUACCAAUGGCGAAGGCAGCUCGCUGGGACGGUACUGACGCUGAGGCGCGAAAGCGUGGGGAGCAAACAGG
rnacentral:rRNA from 1 species